rnacentral:tRNA from 1 species
AGCUUUAUAGUCAAAAAUGAUAUUAGACUGCAAUUCUAAAGGAGUAAUAAUUACUAAAGCUU